rnacentral:rRNA from 1 species
UACGUAGGGUGCAAGCGUUGUCCGGAAUUACUGGGCGUAAAGCGCGCGUAGGCGGCUUUGCAAGUCGAGUGUGAAAUCCCCAGGCUUAACCUGGGAACUGCAUUCGAGACUGCAUGGCUAGAGUAUGGGAGAGGGAAGUGGAAUUUCAGGUGUAGCGGUGAAAUGCGUAGAUAUCUGAAGGAACAUCAGUGGCGAAAGCGAGUUCCUGGACCAAUACUGACGCUCAUGUGCGAAAGCGUGGGGAGCAAACAGG